GAGGAGAGCUGUGUCCAGAGAUCCAGAGAUCCAGAGCUGUAUGCUGAGUCCAGAGAGGUGUGCUGAGUCCAGAGAGGUAUGCUGAGUCCAGAGAGGUGUGCUGAGUCCAGAGAGGUGUGCUAAACAG